rnacentral:rRNA from 1 species
GACGUGCUAAUCUGCGAUAAGCGCCGGUAAGGUGAUAUGAACCGUUAUAACCGGCGAUACCCGAAUGGGGAAACCCAGUGUGAUUCGUCACACUAUCAUUAACUGAAUCCAUAGGUUAAUGAGGCGAACCGGGGGAACUGAAACAUCUAAGUACCCCGAGGAAAAGAAAUCAACCGAGAUUCCCCCAGUAGCGGCGAGCGAACGGGGAGGAGCCCAGAGCCUGAAUCAGCAUGUGUGUUAGUGGAAGCGUCUGGAAAGGCGCGCGAUACAGGGUGACAGCCCCGUACACAAAAGCGCAUGUGCUGUGAGCUCGAUGAGUAGGGCGGGACACGUGGUAUCCUGUCUGAAUAUGGGGGGACCAUCCUCCAAGGCUAAAUACUCCUGACUGACCGAUAGUGAACCAGUACCGUGAGGGAAAGGCGAAAAGAACCCCGGCGAGGGGAGUGAAAAAGAACCUGAAACCGUGUACGUACAAGCAGUGGGAGCACAGGUUUACCUGUGUGACUGCGUACCUUUUGUAUAAUGGGUCAGCGACUUAUAUUCUGUAGCAAGGUUAACCGUAUAGGGGAGCCGGAGGGAAACCGAGUCUUAAUUGGGCGUUAAGUUGCAGGGUAUAGACCCGAAACCCGGUGAUCUAGCCAUGGGCAGGUUGAAGGUUGGGUAACACUAACUGGAGGACCGAACCGACUAAUGUUGAAAAAUUAGCGGAUGACCUGUGGCUGGGGGUGAAAGGCCAAUCAAACCGGGAGAUAGCUGGUUCUCCCCGAAAGCUAUUUAGGUAGCGCCUCGUGAAUUCAUCUCCGGGGGUAGAGCACUGUUUCGGCUAGGGGGCCAUCCCGGCUUACCAACCCGAUGCAAACUGCGAAUACCGGAGAAUGUUAUCACGGGAGACACACGGCGGGUGCUAACGUCCGUCGUGAAGAGGGAAACAACCCAGACCGCCAGCUAAGGUCCCAAAGUCAUGGUUAAGUGGGAAACGAUGUGGGAAGGCCCAGACAGCCAGGAUGUUGGCUUAGAAGCAGCCAUCAUUUAAAGAAAGCGUAAUAGCUCACUGGUCGAGUCGGCCUGCGCGGAAGAUGUAACGGGGCUAAACCAUGCACCGAAGCUGCGGCAGCGAACGUAUCACCCAAGACAACUUUACGGAGUUGACGAUUGACGGAGCGAAGCGACGUCAAAGCGUUCAUUAAAGUCGAGUUGGCUUAGGGAUACGUUCGUUGGGUAGGGGAGCGUUCUGUAAGCCUGUGAAGGUGUGUCGUGAGGCAUGCUGGAGGUAUCAGAAGUGCGAAUGCUGACAUAAGUAACGAUAAAGCGGGUGAAAAGCCCGCUCGCCGGAAGACCAAGGGUUCCUGUCCAACGUUAAUCGGGGCAGGGUGAGUCGACCCCUAAGGCGAGGCCGAAAGGCGUAGUCGAUGGGAAACGGGUUAAUAUUCCCGUACUUGGUGUUACUGCGAAGGGGGGACGGAGAAGGCUAUGUUGGCCGGGCGACGGUUGUCCCGGUUUAAGCGUGUAGGUGUGUGUUCCAGGUAAAUCCGGUUCACUUUAACACUGAGGCGUGACGACGAGGCACUACGGUGCUGAAGCAACAAAUGCCCUGCUUCCAGGAAAAGCCUCUAAGCAUCAGGUAACAUCAAAUCGUACCCCAAACCGACACAGGUGGUCAGGUAGAGAAUACCAAGGCGCUUGAGAGAACUCGGGUGAAGGAACUAGGCAAAAUGGUGCCGUAACUUCGGGAGAAGGCACGCUGACACGUAGGUGAAGUGAUUUACUCAUGGAGCUGAAGUCAGUCGAAGAUACCAGCUGGCUGCAACUGUUUAUUAAAAACACAGCACUGUGCAAACACGAAAGUGGACGUAUACGGUGUGACGCCUGCCCGGUGCCGGAAGGUUAAUUGAUGGGGUCAGCGCAAGCGAAGCUCCUGAUCGAAGCCCCGGUAAACGGCGGCCGUAACUAUAACGGUCCUAAGGUAGCGAAAUUCCUUGUCGGGUAAGUUCCGACCUGCACGAAUGGCGUAAUGAUGGCCAGGCUGUCUCCACCCGAGACUCAGUGAAAUUGAACUCGCUGUGAAGAUGCAGUGUACCCGCGGCAAGACGGAAAGACCCCGUGAACCUUUACUAUAGCUUGACACUGAACAUUGAGCCUUGAUGUGUAGGAUAGGUGGGAGGCUUUGAAGUGUGGACGCCAGUCUGCAUGGAGCCGACCUUGAAAUACCACCCUUUAAUGUUUGAUGUUCUAACGUGGACCCGUAAUCCGGGUUGCGGACAGUGUCUGGUGGGUAGUUUGACUGGGGCGGUCUCCUCCUAAAGAGUAACGGAGGAGCACGAAGGUUGGCUAAUCCUGGUCGGACAUCAGGAGGUUAGUGCAAUGGCAUAAGCCAGCUUGACUGCGAGCGUGACGGCGCGAGCAGGUGCGAAAGCAGGUCAUAGUGAUCCGGUGGUUCUGAAUGGAAGGGCCAUCGCUCAACGGAUAAAAGGUACUCCGGGGAUAACAGGCUGAUACCGCCCAAGAGUUCAUAUCGACGGCGGUGUUUGGCACCUCGAUGUCGGCUCAUCACAUCCUGGGGCUGAAGUAGGUCCCAAGGGUAUGGCUGUUCGCCAUUUAAAGUGGUACGCGAGCUGGGUUUAGAACGUCGUGAGACAGUUCGGUCCCUAUCUGCCGUGGGCGCUGGAGAACUGAGGGGGGCUGCUCCUAGUACGAGAGGACCGGAGUGGACGCAUCACUGGUGUUCGGGUUGUCAUGCCAAUGGCACUGCCCGGUAGCUAAAUGCGGAAGAGAUAAGUGCUGAAAGCAUCUAAGCACGAAACUUGCCCCGAGAUGAGUUCUCCCUGAGACUUAGAGUCUCCUGAAGGAACGUUGAAGACGACGACGUUGAUAGGCCGGGUGUGUAAGCGCAGCGAUGCGUUGAGCUAACCGGUACUAAUGAACCGUGAGGCUUAACCUUACAACGCCGAAG